UGUAUAAGCCACACGACAAGUUGCGGUGUCCCACGAUCGGAAGGCAGAGGAAUUCUCGUGCGUUUCUUCUACGCGAUUUCUUCCCGAUAUCUGGUCGCCGGUCGUCGGGCAAAUCACCCGCAGAAUAUCGGAGUCUUAGCGAGAGGCGAAGGAAAAGGGGCAAAAAGAGAGCGGAACGAAAGAUGCAGAUAUUCGUGAAGACGCUGACGGGGAAGACGAUAACGCUCGAGAUCGAGAGCAGCGACACCAUCGACAAUGUCAAAGCCAAGAUCCAGGACAAGGAGGGGAUACCCCCAGAUCAGCAAAGGCUGAUUUUUGCUGGGAAACAGUUGGAAGAUGGUCGAACUCUAGCUGAUUACAAUAUUCAAAAAGAGUCGACUCUUCACCUGGUUUUGAGGCUUAGGGGUGGAACAAUGAUUAAGGUGAAGACCCUUACUGGAAAAGAAAUUGAAAUUGACAUUGAACCCACUGACACCAUUGAUAGGAUCAAAGAAAGGGUUGAGGAGAAAGAAGGCAUUCCACCUGUCCAACAAAGCUGUUUGCAGUUUGAUCGGAAAAUCUAUAGUUGGAUGGUAGUGGCCAGGAUUUUGUUUUGCAAACUCUACUGGAAGUCUUAUCCAUGUGAAGCUCUUAAUCUCUUGAUCCAUGUGGUGUGCACCAAGGGACGACAGAAAAUGUCCCAGUUCAUACUCUUUUCAUUAUGAGGAUGCCAUGAUGGCUUGGUCUUCUUCUUUUUAUACAAAGGAUUAUGAUGGCUAGAUCUCUCUUUUAGGACCCAGUUCCUAAACAGUCAUUUUUCUUAGCCGACCAAGAUUACUUGUGGGUCAUUGCCGUCUGCCACCAAAAUACUGUUUUUAAACCUUUCUUUUCAGAUGGCGGAGAUGGAUGGCAAAUAUGGUUGAAAGGUAUGAGAAGGCUGAUAUAUGCAGGCAAGCAACUAGCUGAUGACAAAAACUGCGAAGGACUACAACAUUGAGGGUGGUUCUGUCCUCCAUCUCGUUCUUGCUCUAAGGGGUGGUAGCUCGUAGUGCUGGCUUCUGUGAAAACCAUUUAGUAAGAAGCCAAUAAUUCCCAUAUGUUUUGAUGAACUCUUUUUGCAAGAGAUUCUUGAGACUAAAUAUGCAAUGCUUUCUGUCAAAAGGCACUAGUUAUUGCAAAUGGUUGCUUGAAAUAACAAGGAGAACGCUUCAAUUGUACUCAUUA